rnacentral:rRNA from 1 species
GGGCCAGACUCCUACGGGAGGCAGCAGUGGGGGAUAUUGCACAAUGGGGGAAACCCUGAUGCAGCGACGCCGCGUGGGUGAAGAAGUAUUUCGGUAUGUAAAGCCCUAUCAGCAGGGAAGAAAGAAGACGGUACCUGACUAAGAAGCCCCGGCUAACUACGUGCCAGCAGCCGCGGUAAUACGUAGGGGGCGAGCGUUAUCCGGAUUCACUGGGUGUAAAGGGGGCGCAGACGGCGAUGCAAGCCAGGAGUGAAAGCCCGGGGCCCAACCCCGGAACUGCUCUUGGAACUGCGUGGCUAGAGUGCAGGAGGGGCAGGCGGAAUUCCUGGUGUAGCGGUGAAAUGCGUAGAUAUCAGGAGGAACACCGGUGGCGGAGGCGGCCUGCUGGACUGCAACUGACGUUGAGGCCCGAAAGCGUGGGGAGCAAACAGGAUUAGAUACCUAGUA